ACUUUCAAAUCGUCUCUAUUUUGCGAUAUUUUCGCUUGUUUAUAUCGCGCACGUGUAUACACUUUGAAUAGCGGAGUGCGAAAGUUGUCCGAAAAAAUGCAAAUUUGGUCACGUGACAGCAACAUAUUUUUCAUCGCAGUAAACGUGGAUUCACAGGCGAUGCAUUUUCUAUAUGUUGGCUGAAAGAAAAGUUGCAAAAAGAGGGAUUUGAUGCCAAGUAAACAGGGACGGAAACACUAAUAUUCUUAUUGCAGACAGUGUUUUAGAAUUUAAUUAC